GUCACAACCUCAAAUUACUAGAUGAGCUGUUGAAGUACUGGCAGAUGAAGUUGGAUAUGAGAGGAGGCCAUUGAGCCGUAUGCCAAAGAAGUGGGGACCCAAUGCCUUCUGCGUUUCUUUGACAUUGUUUCUGCGUUUCUUCUGGCAUCGUUUCUGAGUUUCUUCUGACAUGUUUCUUAGUUUCUUUGUCUAUUCUUCUUCUGGAUUUGGUCUCCAUGGCAUAGUUUAUGGAGUUGGUUUGAAAUUGCAGUGGGGAACGAAAAGAGAAUGAAGACGAGAAGAAAAGAAAAUGCAGAAGAAUUUUAGGUCUUUGGAGAAGAAAAGGAAUGAGAGAGAACAACUCAACUUAGCCGUGUGAAGAAGUGGAAAAUAGGAGAACAAUCGGCAGAUUAAAGAUGUUAAAUUUGGGCUAAUUUGAUCCAUUUUAAAAGUUACAAGGGUUUGUUUGAUUGCAAAUUUUUUUCAGUGGCUAAUAUGAUUAUUAAGCUAUAGUUGAAGGGUCAAAAUGUGCCUAGUAAACAAGCACAUAACUUUGGAAAUAAAUCAUAUCCAUGGUGCUUUGGUUGUUUUUUCUUCUGAAAUAAACCAUAUUGAUGUGUUUUAUUGAAU
rnacentral:misc_RNA from 1 species